GAGAUGUUUCAAGUGUUGGGUUCGGGAAACAUUUCCGAUCUUUUUCCUCUUCUUACUCGCUUCGACUUACAGGGACUUGAAUCCAAAGCAAAAAAGCUUACAGUUCGAUUGGAUAAGAUUUUCGAGUCAUUAUUGAGACCUGGUCAGAGUGGACAGGACAGGAAUGAGGGGAAGUCGAGCAAAGAUUUUCUGCAAAUCUUGUUGGAGCUUCAGCAACAAGGAGAUUAUUCCUUAUCCAUGGACCAAAUUAAGGCCUUGUUUAUGGUAAAAAUCUUAUCAACUUGCUUUGAACUAUUUUAAGCGUUUUCAUUUUUUGAAUUUGAAUUGAAUUGUCAACACUCAACAGGAUGUUGCUGUUGGAAGUACGGAUACAACAUCAAUCACUGUAGAGUGGGCGAUGUCAGAGCUGCUGCAGAAACCGGAGGUAAUGAGAAAAGCCCGCAACGAACUGGAGCAAGUGGUGGCACCUGACAGUGUUGUGGAAGAGUUUCAUCUUGCCAAAUUGCCUUACUUGGAAGCAAUUGUAAAAGAGACAUUAAGAUUGCAUCCACCCGCGCCGCUUCUAACCUCGCGAAGGCCUAGUGCAACAAGCAACUUGUCUGGGUAUACAAUUCCCAAGGGCUCAACAAUAUUCAUCAACGCGUGGGCGAUACAGAGGAAUCCUGAGGUAUGGGAAAAUCCCCAAGAUUUUCAACCUGAUAGGUUCUUGGAAGAUGUCAAAAUAGGUGAUUUUCGAGGAAACAAUUUCAAUUAUCUUCCAUUUGGUUCCGGGAGGAGGAUUUGUCCUGGAAUUCCUCUAGCAGAGAAGAUUGUCCCUCAUGUAUUAGCCAACCUAUUGCAUCUUUUUGAGUGGAGUUUGCCUGAGGGAACAAAGUUUGAUCUUUCCGAUAAGCUUUUAAUGGCACUGAAAAAGUCGGAGCCACUUGUGGUCAUCCCAACUCCAAGAUCACUCUCUGCUUUAGAGCAUUGCAAUUAAUCACUGUUGUUUUAGAUUUCAAACACGUAUUGUGCCAUAUUCUUGCUUUUGUACUGGAAGAAAGCAAAAACUUUGUUUUAUAGACCGCUAAUAAUUUGCUUUCUACCAUAAACGACGUUUGUUGUGCUUGUAUAUGAUUUCAAGAUUUAAUGUACUCUUAUGUUAUUGUGGCUUUGCCUUUCACCAUUCUUCAUGAAGCCGUAAUAGGGACAUCUACGCGUGAGCAGGACAAGCUCAUCAAAUCUGAAAGAUUUGUUUUGUCUGGUAACCUCAAACCAAGAAUUUUCUUAAACCAAAAUUGCUUUGAGGUGUCUGCUUGGCUAUUUUAGGUUUUGAUCUUCCUCCCCGCCCCACUUAUGUAGUAUAAGUCCGUUAUAUGGUUAUGAAGUUUAUUGAUAGUGUUCAAACCUCUACUUUCACGCGUUAUUAAUACUUCAUUACUAUCACUUCAUACUAAAUAACCUAAAAGACAGAGAUGUAGGAUCAAUUGACUGGCUCAAAAUACAAAGAUACAGGGAUCAAAAUAAUGUAACUUGCAUUCAUCCAAGAGUUGCUCCAAGUAAGCCAAGUAUAAUUUGGUUGCCAAAUAGUCUUGGAUUAUGGAGAACAAUUCUUUGUCGAUGUAACUUAGUUAAAAAUGUAACUUAAUCACUACUAAGGAAUCUUUUGUUUCUUAUCAUGAUGAUUAGCUUAAAAAAGAGAGAAAAAGAAAGGAAAUCCCACGUCGGAUCAUCCAAUUAUAGAACAACAUAUGCUAAGAUCCAGUAUGUUCGAAUGGAUCAUCCCAAGUCAUUUCGGUCAACAGCUGCAUUUCCUGCCACUGAUAUCAACUUUUCCAUAGUAAUAAUUUUAUUUAAGAAUGUAUAAUUUCUUCUUGGGUUUGGUUAUAUUGGAAUCGCUAUAAGGUAGAGCACCCCUUCAUAAUUAUACGAUCAAAGUUAUAAUGAGUUUUUUAUUAUUUAUCACUUUGCGUGUGUGGUUAAAAUUUAUACUUUACCUUAGAGCAACUUCAAAAUAGCCAUAGCCUUUUAUUUAUUUUUUUUUUUUGUGGAAUGUGUGUUGCAAAGUGUAAUAACAACAUUAUUAAUAACCAGAAAAAGAGGGGAGGAGUUAAUACUUAUAAUAUUUUCGAAUUUAACGCUUGUUACAAAUGAACCAGACGCAGCGAGUCCUGUAAAUUUUCCCGUUAAAUAAAUUCAAUUGUCUUUACCAAAUUUUGACAUCUACAAGUGAUUUUAGGGAGUCGUUUUCUACAGAUGGUUGAGAUUUAAAGGGAUUUCUGAAGUGAUGCGAACAAGAGACUCUUUUCCCCAUAGUGAAAUGCUGCUAUGAGUGAAGUUGACUUGCACCUUAGAUUGCCAAAUUUCUAAGAGAAGUGAAUGGAAUUGACCAAAAGACUACCUGUACCCGUAAUAAAAUUUGUUUGUUGUCUGCAUUUGUUGAUUACGGUUCCUAGAUUUGGUGUCUAUUUAGCCAUUUAUUGACACUGAGAUUCAACCAAGCAAAUCAAGUUAAAAGAUCCAGACAACUUCACCGUUUGGUGCAUUCUUAAAGUUGCAAAAUACAUUAGGAUAUGCAGAUAUAUUUAUAGGACAGCAAACGGGCUUGUAAACAGCCAAGUCUUUGUACUGGGGCUAUCAUAUUUUAAAAGCAUAUGGACAAAACUUUAAUACACUGAAGUAUUGUGAGUUAAAUAUAAUUACGAUUAGCAUUCAGGGAUAUCUGUUUUUUUUCCGAAAUUCAGAGGGGGUAAAUGCAUUUGAGGGUUAAACAUGCCGAGAUCAAGCUGUGUUUUUGCCAAACUUCUGAGGCAUCCUAAAAGACACAAAAGACAAGCCCCCAUUCUCAUUUUUCCUGCCUCCCCAUAAAGGUAGAAAGUGCACAUUAAUGCAAGGUGAAAACACAAUCUGAUUGCAUAUUGAUCCAAACUUUUGCUACUUAUAACGUUAAUAAUUUAAUACAACAAAACAUUAGAAUGUUAACAGGUGACUAUCUCAUGCCACUCAUGUUUACAUCAGAAGUUGUUCACUCAGUAUACAGCAAGAGAAUGGACAUGGAUGAAGAGGGAACAUCUGACUCAAAUUUGGCAUUCUGUGAAUUCUAUGAUGGUUAAAGGCUCACUGAUGGCCACUCUCAUUCUCCUGCUCCAUCUCCUCUGCAUCGUCAAAGCGUUGAUCACUAAUUUGAAGCUGCGGGCAAUUUAAAUAAUGGUAUCAAUGAGGAAGGCAUAGUUAAGGUCUAAUAUAAAUUUCCAGACAAAUUCGAUUGGCUGCAUAGGUCAUAGAUUAUGGGGUGAAAACCGGUGAUGAAUUGGAAUUCAAACAACAAAAUAAGACACUAAAUCUGAGGGCCAAGAAUGAACAACAAGAAAAAUGGAUGUGUUAAGGGAUACCUGAAGCACAUUGUUAGCUAGGUCAUUAUCACCAUUUGAAUGACCAAUUGGGUUUGUUGGAUCCUGAAAAAAAUGACACCCAGGAUCUUCCCCUAACGGACAUACCAAUUAUUAAAGAACAAAACAUUUGUAAGAAUAACAAGAAGGGACGUAAUAUUUCAAAAGGGAAUGGAAUCAUGUUUGACCCUCCAUACCUGUACCCUCGUUUUCCAGCUGGUCAGCACUAAAAACCCAAUUGUGCCCUUCUUCUUCCUCUGAUGAAGGCAUAUGAAGAUGCAGAAAUUAGUAUUCGACUAAUGAACAUACAUAAUAAAUAAAUUUGCUACUCGACCAUUGUAAUAUUUAUAUGAGAGUAAACUCACCUUCUAUAGGUUCAGGAUUGAGCUCGGCACACUCGCAAAAAAUCUCAAACAGAUUAUCCACUACCACACACCAAUGAAGACGAUGGUCUAUGGUUAAUACUCUGCAUUAAACAGCAAGCAAGAUACAUCCAGAAAACAUAGAGAUAGCAGCAUAAAAGACCACAAAAAGAAUUCAUCUGUCACAGAGAAGAUUGAAAAAUUAUGUCCUUUAGCUAUUAACAACGAAUUGUCCUCCGUUUUAUUGAAACAAAUCCAUUGCUUCCACUUCAUUUGUUUGACAGGCUUCACUCUCCUCCGCAAGUGUCAAACAUGUUAUCAAAACUUAUCCAUAGUUUCGUUGGUCUGUCCUUUGAAUUCAACGAGCACAUAAUCACCAGCUGCAGAGUGAUACCAAUUCUUUGGCAGCAACAUUUGCCAUUUCUUGCUAUGCAUGGUUCAUUAAGAAACCAACUAGAAGCUCACCACCACUGCCACCAGGUCCGCGAGCCCUGCCCUUAGCCGGAAACAUUCUUUCUGUUGAACCAAAUUUGCAUCUUUACUUUGCCAAAUUGUCCCAAAUUUACGGUCCAGUCUUCAAAUUUUAUCUGGGUAGAAAAUUUUCUGCAAAGAUUUUCGAGUCAUUAUUGAGAUCUGGUCAGAGUGGACAGGACAGGAAUGAGGGGAAGUCGAGCAAAGAUUUUCUGCAAACCUUGUUGGAGCUUCAGCAGCAAGGAGAUUAUUCCUUAUCCAUGGACCAAAUUAAGGCCUUGUUUAUGGUAAAAAUCUUAUCAACUUGCUUU
rnacentral:lncRNA from 1 species